AGUGAACGCUGGCGGCGUGCCUAAUACAUGCAAGUCGAACGGAGUGGCGCACGGGUGAGUAAUAUAUAGCUAAUCUGCCCCUAGCUGGAGGACAACCGUUUGAAAUGACUGCUAAUACUCCAUAGAAAGGGAUGAGACUAUAUCGUAUCAGCUAGUCGGUGGGGUAACGGCCUACCGAGGCGAUGACGCGUAACUGGGGUGAGAGGAUGAUCAGUAACAUUGGAACUGAGACACGGUCCGAACACAUUCGGCAGGGAGCAGUAGGGAAUAGUACGCAAUGGGCGAAACUCUAACGCAGCAACGCCGCGUGGAGGAUGACACUUUUCGGAGCGUAAACUCUUUUUGUUAGGGAAGCGGUACCUAACGAAGAAGCACCGGCUAACUCCGUGCCAGCAGCCGCGGUAAUAC
rnacentral:rRNA from 1 species